rnacentral:rRNA from 1 species
CACGAACGCUGGCGGCGUGCCUAAUACAUGCAAGUCGAGCGCAGGAAAUCGACGGAACCCUUCGGGGGGAAGUCGACGGAAUGAGCGGCGGACGGGUGAGUAACACGUAAAGAACCUGCCCUCAGGUCUGGGAUAACCACGAGAAAUCGGGGCUAAUACCGGAUGGGUCAUCGGACCGCAUGGUCCGAGGAUGAAAGGCGCUCCGGCGCCGCCUGGGGAUGGCUUUGCGGUGCAUUAGCUAGUUGGUGGGGUAAUGGCCCACCAAGGCGACGAUGCAAGGCCGACCUGAGAGGGUGAUCGGCCACACUGGUACUGGGACACGGCCCAGACUCCUACGGGAGGCAGCAGUAGGGAAUCUUCCACAAUGGACGAAAGUCUGAUGGAGCAACGCCGCGUGAACGAUGAAGGCCUUCGGGUCGUAAAGUUCUGUUGUAAGGGAAGAACAAGUGCCGCAGGCAAUGGCGGCACCUUGACGGUACCUUGCGAGAAAGCCACGGCUAACUACGUGCCAGCCGCCGCUGUAAAAC